rnacentral:lncRNA from 1 species
UCAAGUCAGAUGUACGGAUCGUAGAGAGAAUAGAGAGAAUAAACUCGUGGUGGAUUAUCAAUAAUGAGAACGUACCUUUACAAAAUGAAUAAAACUUCUAUUUAUAUGUCGUUGAUUAAGUUGGGCUUAUUUUGUUGGGCCUAAGCCUUAUUUUGAAGGAGCUUGGGCUUUCGUGUAAUGGACCCACAUGUAUGUGAUUGGGCUUUCUUGUAAUGGGCCUAAUUGGUAGAUAAAUUUGAGGGCCCAUUGGGUCGGCCCAUUUAGGUAUAUCA